UUUAAACGUAGCCAUGAGUUUUCUUGUCCUACUUUAAUCGUCUGUCUUAUUUAAAUUUUUUUUAUUAAUGUUUUAAUUGUUAUUAGAUGAUAAAAUACGAAUAGUACUCUACGCAUGACUUAUGUAUUUGUUAUUUUUUAAAAAAAUUUAAUAAGAUGGACGAUCAAAAUUAAACACGAAAACUCAUUAUUACCCUAAUA
rfam:Oryza nivara chromosome 4, whole genome shotgun sequence.